rnacentral:rRNA from 1 species
UACGGGGGGGGCAAGCGUUGUUCGGAAUUACUGGGCGUAAAGGGCUCGUAGGUGGCCAACUAAGUCAGACGUGAAAUCCCUCGGCUUAACCGGGGAACUGCGUCUGAUACUGGAUGGCUUGAGUUCGGGAGAGGGAUGCGGAAUUCCAGGUGUAGCGGUGAAAUGCGUAGAGAUCUGGAAGAACACCAAAGGCGAAGGCAGCAUCCUGGUCAGUCGCUGACGCUAAUGUGCGAAAGCCAGGGGAGCGAACGGG